GCUGGCUUUCCAAGAUCGGCGGCUGGAUGCCGAUCUCUAGGGCCCCAGGAAAAGAAGGAAGUGAAGUGUUGGAGCAGAGCCAGAGGAGGGUCACAAAGAUUCUUAGAGGGCUGGAGCAUCUCUGCUGUGAAGACAGGGUGGAAAGAGCCAUCAUAUCUCUGUCUCCUACCUCUAGUACAGCUGACUCUCUGAUCUGCACUUAAUCUGACCCAAGAUAACUAUAAAAUUUCUGGAAAUUGAUGCUAUUUGAAAAAGUGACCACCUCUGAGCUAACUUUUGAGCUCACUUCUGCAUGGCCAUAUCCACAGGAGAGAGCUGGGGAUUCAGUAACAUUGCAUGGGAGACAUGGGAGCCUAAAGCACUGGAUCUACAAUACACAUCUUGCUAACCAAAGCAUCACCUUAUCUGGACAGCUGGAAAUGCAGCACUGAGCCGUGUUUUAAGAUUAUCAAAUAAAAUUAGUCUUUUGGUGUUGCAGAAGUCUCAACCUCUUUUGGAAUUAAGUGCCUAAGGCAGCUCUUGCUCACAAGUGGCACCAAGUUGUGGACCCUUCUGUCCAGAUCACUCCUUCUGGAGCCUCCCUCUUUGCUUCAUAAUAGCUUGUGAACUCUGCUUCUGUCCCCUGGUCCCCACCAGAUGAUGAGAAUAUCUAGACAGGAAAUUCUUAGUCUUUCCUGCUUAAGCUGUUCUGCUUUCUAUGGACUCUACUGGGCCAGAGAGGACACCAAAGUGCCUAUUUUCAUACUAAUCUGUGUUAGGUACCCUUAAUUACUUACACUUAUGUCACUCCUGUAUUAAGUACUUAUAAAUGUUUGCAUACCAUAAAGCCUGGACCUCCAGAGACAUUGCAACUACAAAAGGCAUGCAAAGGAGAGCACUUCAGGUAAUCUCAUUACACUGGAUUACAAUCACUUCGUUUCAGAAUUUUCAUUUAUUUCUUUAAACUGAAUUUCACUUCGUUAUAUGUUCACUCCAGUCAGUUUGUUUCACUUUGUUCUCUGACUUCGAGAUUUUAUUUCCUUUCAUAUAAGGAAAUUCUUCAUUUCAUGAAGGGAAAUGAAAUAUUGUGAUUUCAAUGAAGAUCCAUUCGACAACGUUUGGUCCAUUUCCCUGCACUUGAAAUAUUGAAAUCAGAGAAUAAAGUGUGAUAAACACUAGGGAAAGGAGAUAUGAUGAAAUAAAAUGAAAUUUAAAAAAAUAAAAGAAAGAAAAUUCAGAAAUGGAGUGACUAAAACCAUACAGAUUGCGGUGAAAUGAAGUGCAGUGAAAUGAGGUGCAGUGAAAAGGAACAAAAUUUGGCAGAACUAUACUUACUGAAAUCCCAAAAUCCGGACAUGAAAUUAAAAAAAAAAAAAGACAAGAGAUAAAAUUAAUGAAAUAAAAUGCUAAAAAAAAAAAAAGGAAAAUUUUGCAAUGAAGUGAAAACAGUGAAAGCCAAUAGGAUUAUAUGAACAGCAGGCAGUGGCUCAAAGUGUGCUGCUGCCUUCUGAAAUAGUGAACAUGGUAGGACUUCUCCUGGACCAAAGCUGCCACCACCUAAAUUUCUGGCUGCCCUUGGAGCUCCAAAUGCCACCUCUGAGCUGACCCCAAGACACUGGGGAAACGAGUUGUUUUUCCCAUGGAAGAUGUCCACUGUUCGCCUCCAGUCGCACUGGCCCACCGUGGGGUGCCAUCUCCUUAAUUCACAAACCAUGCAGCAUUGCUCUCAGAACAAAGCUGCCAGGUUCUAGGACUGUGGCUGUCCUUGGAUCCCCAGACACCUCCUCUGAGCUGACCCUGAGACACUGGGGGCUGAGUACUGUUUUCCUUUGGAAAGGGACCGGUUCUCAUCCAGGCAUUGGAAGUCCAGGGAGAUGGACCAAACCUUGCCAAAUUAAUCCUCAUUUAAUUCUCAAGUAUUCAUUUCCUCUCAUUAAAUGAAGAAUGUCUUUCAAUUAAAUGUAAUAAAAUCUUGAAUUCUGAAAAGAAAGUGUAACAAACUCUG